UGAAAAAGUCCCCUCGUCCCCGAGUGUCCC
rnacentral:piRNA from 1 species